UACGUAGGGGGCAAGCGUUGUCCGGAAUCAUUGGGCGUAAAGCGCGUGUAGGCGGUUCGAUAAGUCUGCUGUGAAAGUCCAGGGCUCAACCCUGGGAUGCCGGUGGAUACUGUCGGGCUAGAGUGCGGAAGAGGCGAGUGGAAUUCCCGGUGUAGCGGUGAAAUGCGCAGAUAUCGGGAGGAACACCAAUUGCGAAGGCAGCUCGCUGGGACGUAACUGACGCUGAGACGCGAAAGCGUGGGGAGCAAACAGG
rnacentral:rRNA from 1 species